rnacentral:misc_RNA from 1 species
UUUGUUGUGGAAGGAUGCACUAGUGUAAUUGUUUCUGCUUGUUGGGCCAAUAACAACUGCUGUUAAGGGAUUUUUUGUAUUGUGGUUCAAUUGGGACUUAUGUAAAUACUUAACAGAGCAAGAAGGAAUAUUAUUGGUGUCAUCUCUAUUUGGUCUCUGAGAUUCAGAGGGAGAAGGAAAAUAGCUGAAGUGUGUACACCAAUUAGGAACUCUUAUUCGCAGACAAAUUAUCAGUUUUUGGCCAGAGAGUGAAGGUUUGAAGAGCAAAAAUGGGAAAUUCAUCAGGAAAAAACAAGAAAAAUAAGAAGGGGAAGGAAGAAGGAGAAGAGAAUGACCAAGCAGCCAAUGAACAAACAGAACAAAAGCAAGGAGAGGAAGCAGCCACUGAGAACAAGGAAAACAAACCUGCUGAGGAAGCAGCCAAUGAAACAAAAGAAGACAAAGCAGGAGAUGAAGGAGGAGGAGGGGAAGAAGGAAAAACUGAAGAGUCAAAGGAGCCAGAGCCCAAAGAACAGAAGAGUGAGGAAACACCUAAACCUGAUGAAACGACAGCUGACACCCCUAAACCAGAUGAGCCAGAACCAGCAGCUCAGGAGGAAUCUAAGGAAGAAUCCAAGGAGGAACCUAAGGAAGAAUCCAAGGAAGAAACUAAGGAGGAACCUAAGGAAGAAAGUAAGGAAGAAACUAAGGAGGAACCUAAGGAAGAAACCAAGGAAGAGACUAAGGAAGAAACCAAGGAAGAACCAGCCCCAGAAUCAGAGGAAAAGCCUCCCAUGGAAGUUUGUGAGCCCCCACGGACAGAACCAGAGGCAGCGGCUCCAGCCGAGUCAGAACCACCAGUAGCCACCCAGGAGGAAAGUGCAGAGAGUGAGAAGUUUGCCACUGAGUUCCAAUGGGAUGAUGAAGGAGAAACCGUCAAAGUGUCCGGCUCUUUUAAUGAUUGGAAAGAGCAAGUGCCUUUAGAGAAAAAUGGAGACAACGUUUUCCAAGCUGUCAUUGAUCUCCCCAAAGGAGAAUAUGUGUUCAAAUUCAUUGUGGAUGAUAAUUGGAUAAUUAGCAAAAAACUGCCAACCAAAGUUGCCGAUGAUGGAGUAGAAAACAAUGUUGUCGUGGUUUCCGGCUGAGCAUGCCCAGUCCUCUCCCCGACUCUACACAAACAACACUAAGUCAAGACGCAUUCUCUGUGACAUUCCAAGCAUACAGAUUAAAUCAGCUGACAUAUUUUCUUCUUUUUGUGAAAAAUUUGAUCAUCAUUACACCAAAAGAAAACCAACAUGAUUUUUUUUUAUUUUGCAAAGCAUAUUUGUUUGAUGGUGGACUUGGAGUUCUAUUUUUAAAAGCUGUGCAAGAGUUUUAUUUUUCUCUCACGUUUUCUGUGGAGAUUUAUCAUUGAAAUCAUGCUUUGAUCUUUGAAGGCCUUUUUUACUUUCACUUCUGCGGUAUUUGCUUGUAUUUUGUGCUUUACAAAAGUGUAAAUGUGUUUGUAUAAGUGUGAAUGUGUAUUUUGUAGAAGUACAUGAAAUAUUUAUUCUUUAAAUCCUCUCAACUUGGGACUUUAAGCAUCAAAAACACUAUUAAUGGGGACAAUAUGUAGUAAAGGGAAUUCUUUGACCAAGCUUUUAUGUGUUUUUAGCUAGAUCCAUGUCCUCAAUAUUUUUUUUUCACAAGGUUUGGUAAAUAGAAUAGCAUUUAGUAUUAAAUUGACCUUGUUUUUUUUUAACCCCCCAAAAAUUCAGUUGCAAACAUCCUCUGUUCACAUUUUUGAUUCGAAACCCUGCUCAUACUGACCUUUGCUGUUGUGCUUCAAAUAGGGUGGUUCUAAUUGUAACUUUAUCUGGGACAACCCAUAUUACUUGUACAGUUAACAAGGCAAGAGUUUCAUUAACAACUGUUAAGUACAAUAUGUACGGAGUGACUGAAGUGUGGUAAUUGGGUUCUGAAAUGUUGUGACAAGUAGUUUUUUUUUAUAUGAAUAGUUCAACCCUCAGAAUGAGUCCGAAGUUCAAAUGGAAGCCCCAAGAGCUGUUUGUUUUGUAAUUCUGUGAUUUAUUUGUUCAGCCUAAUCAUUAUCACCGAGAUGCUUAAAAUAGUUAUAAUUUACAUAAGAUUGGUAGAAGAGAGAUAGUUGCUAUUAUUGUAUGAGGUUCUCAGUUCUUUCCACCUUUUUUAUAUCUGGCUUUUAAUACAACUGUAUUCAUUCAUAUUCUUGGUAAUGUUGCCUAAUUUUUGAAUGCACUGGUGAAUAGGAGUUUGUGGUGAGCUUUAUCAAGGGGGAGAUAAUUCUACAUUUAUUUGCAAUGCAAUUUGUUGGAUAGUAAUCAUUCAUAUUUUUGUAUAACUGUGGUGUAUAUUGUCACAUUGAAUGCUGUCACACUGUGAAAUGAAUGUUUCCUUUCUCUAAAUAUCUAAGAUUUGAAAGGAUAAAAAAAACUGUAAGUGAAUUUCUCCUUCAGUUAAGAUGAUUUUGAUCUAUGAUCAUGAAAUUAUUUUGAGUAGACAUCUUAUUGUACUUAGAUAUUUUAAUGGAUAUUUUUUUUGUUAUAUAAGUUAAUAUCUUUACUUACCACUAAGUAAUCAUCCAAAUGAAACAAUUGUGUUAUUUUUUUAUAUGUCAAUUUAUAGUGUUUGUUAAUUACUAAAAUAUCUAGUCAUUUUUUUGUAUACCUAACAAAAGACAUUAAUUUUAGGGGAAAAUUUCACGUAAGUGGUAAAAGUGCUUGUAGUAAUGUAGUGUCUUGUAUGUCAUUGAAAUAAAAUUAACUAAGUU